AAGGAGGUGAUCCAGCCGCAGAGUCUGAGCCAGGAUCAAACUCAGAGUUUGAUCCUGGCUCAGGACGAACGCUGGCGGCGUGCCUAAUACAUGCAAGUCGUGCGGACCUUUUAAAAGCUUGCUUUUAAAAGGUUAGCGGCGGACGGGUGAGUAACACGUGGGCAACCUGCCUGUAAGACUGGGAUAACGCCGGGAAACCGGGGCUAAUACCAGAUCGUUUUUUCCUCCGCAUGGAGGAAAAAGGAAAGGCGGCUUCGGCUGCCACUUACAGAUGGGCCCGCGGCGCAUUAGCUAGUUGGUGGGGUAAUGGCCCACCAAGGCAACGAUGCGUAGCCGACCUGAGAGGGUGAUCGGCCACAUUGGGACUGAGACACGGCCCAAACUCCUACGGGAGGCAGCAGUAGGGAAUCUUCCGCAAUGGACGAAAGUCUGACGGAGCAACGCCGCGUGAGUGAAGAAGGCCUUCGGGUCGUAAAACUCUGUUGCCGGGGAAGAACAAGUGCCGUUCGAACAGGGCGGCGCCUUGACGG
rnacentral:rRNA from 1 species